ensembl:lncRNA
CCACAAAGAUCUCCACUUUAACCACAUUUUCCCUCUUUUUCCCCACUUUCAUUUCAUUUCUGUGCCGUUUGAAACCGGUUUUUAAGGACUUUCAGGACCGCACCUCCGCUCCGCGCUCCAUUCCGCCGCAAAAUGGCGGCCGCGCUGCCUCACAGCGCCGUUUCCGCCUCGCUCAGCCAAUCAGACGCGGCUCUGUCAAUAGGCGGCCAAUAGGGAGAAAGACGAGGCGGGACGAGUGGCGAGGAGCGGAAAAGGAAGCGAAGCAUAACGGAAGUUGUGGGCGGGCUUAAGUGGCGUUAUGAGUAUGCCGGGCAGUGAUUGAAGGGCGGAGCCGUCACUCCGGAAGCGGAAGUGCAGAAAGACGCGGAGCGGCGGUGGAGUGGAGGCCACCAUGCCCUGACCAUGUUUAGCAUUGAGGAGUUCCCGGAGGAGCCGCAGCCCCCACCCCUGCCUGGCCCCUGCCACCGGGACCCCCCCGAAUCCCCCUGGGGGGGCAGCUCUGGUUCCAGCCCCGCUGCCACUCCCACAGAAAUCCCACGUCGUGCCGCAGCAGAAAUGGGGUACUGCAGUAUCGUCAGUCAUCUCUGAUUUAAGGAGUGCGGGGGCUGCACGAAGGACUCACGCUGCAGCCUCCCUAUUUCUUUGGGGUUUGGGAUCGAUGUUUGAGCCAAAAGGCUACACGCUGCCAGACAGGAGGUGCCGGGUUUACCCAAUGAAGACAACAAAUCCUACAGUAUCUUCACAAUGGUCUUCGAUUGCAAAGCGAGUAGAUGACACGAUUCUCACCGGUCAGCCAUAAGCUGACCCUGUCAGUUUGGCAAACAGCACUUCACUCCGUUCACAACAGGAAUCUCAGCCCUUUUGCUCCACAUACAGCUUCUCAGCCUCUUGCUGUAUCACUACAGAAUUCCGAGCUCCCCUAUCUAUUAGAAAUGUCACCAACUGCCUUUGAGGACAGCCUGCUCCCCCAAAAUACCAACUUUAUCCCGAAAAUGAAACGUGCUCCGCGAAAAAAAGAAAUUUUCACCCACAAGAUCUUCACUCCAAAAAUACGAUAUUCUGCGCGCAAGUCACGCAUUUUCAACAAAACAAACAAAUAAAAAAAACCCCAAACUUCAG